rnacentral:rRNA from 1 species
AUUGAACGCUGGCGGCAGGCUUAACACAUGCAAGUCGAGCGAGCGGCGGACGGGUGAGUAAUGUCUGGGAAACUGCCCGCUUGAGGGUGAUCACUACUGGAAACGGUAGCUAAUACCGCAUACCAUCAGAUGUGCACAGAUGGGCUUAGCUAGUAGGUGGGGUAAUGGCUCACCUAGGCGACGAUCCCUAGCUGGUCUGAGAGGAUGAUCAGCCACACUGGAGCGGAGACACGGGCCAGAGGCCUACGGGAGGCAGCAGUGGGGAAUAUUGCACAAUGGGCGCAAGCCUGAUGCAGCCAUGCCGAGUGUGUGAAGAAGGCCUUCGGGUUGUAAAGCACGUUCAGCGGUGAGGCGUUACUCGCAGAAGAAGCACCGGCUAACUCCGUGCCAGCAGCCGCGGUAAUAC